GGACGAAAGUCUGACGGAGCAACGCCGCGUGAGUGAUGACGGCCUUCGGGUUGUAAAGCUCUGUUAAUCGGGACGAAAGGCCUUCUUGCGAAUAGUGAGAAGGAUUGACGGUACCGGAAUAGAAAGCCACGGCUAACUACGUGCCAGCAGCCGCGGUAAUACGUAGGUGGCAAGCGUUGUCCGGAAUUAUUGGGCGUAAAGCGCGCGCAGGCGGAUAGGUCAGUCUGUCUUAAAAGUUCAGGGCUUAACCCCGUGAUGGGAUGGAAACUGCCAAUCUAGAGUAUCGGAGAGGAAAGUGGAAUUCCUAGUGUAGCGGUGAAAUGCGUAGAUAUCGGGAAGAACACC
rnacentral:rRNA from 1 species